AAACAGCCCCUAUGUAUUGGAUCUUUGGCAGUUUUGGCCCCCAAGGCCACUUUUGACUAAGUCUUCGCUUGCGGGUGCCGCGUCAGCGAAGACUAAGUCAAAAGUGGCUUUGGGGGCCAAAACUGUCAAAGAUCCAAUACAUAGGGGGCUGUUU
rfam:Medicago truncatula strain A17 chromosome 3, whole genome shotgun sequence.